rnacentral:rRNA from 3 species
GCAUAUCAAUAAGCGGAGGAAAAGAAACCAACAGGGAUUGCCCUAGUAACGGCGAGUGAAGCGGCAACAGCUCAAAUUUGAAAUCUGGCGUCUUCGGCGUCCGAGUUGUAAUUUGCAGAGGGCGCUUUGGCAUUGGCAGCGGUCCAAGUUCCUUGGAACAGGACGUCACAGAGGGUGAGAAUCCCGUACGUGGUCGCUAGCCUUUACCGUGUAAAGCCCCUUCGACGAGUCGAGUUGUUUGGGAAUGCAGCUCUAAAUGGGAGGUAAAUUUCUUCUAAAGCUAAAUACUGGCCAGAGACCGAUAGCGCACAAGUAGAGUGAUCGAAAGAUGAAAAGCACUUUGGAAAGAGAGUUAAAAAGCACGUGAAAUUGUUGAAAGGGAAGCGCUUGCAGCCAGACUUGCCUGUAGUUGCUCAUCCGGGUUUUUACCCGGUGCACUCUUCUAUAGGCAGGCCAGCAUCAGUUUGGGCGGUUGGAUAAAGGUCUCUGUCAUGUACCUCUCUUCGGGGAGAACUUAUAGGGGAGACGACAUGCAACCAGCCUGGACUGAGGUCCGCGCAUCUGCUAGGAUGCUGGCGUAAUGGCUGUAAGCGGCCCGUCUUGAAACACGGACCAAGGAGUCUAACAUCUAUGCGAGUGUUUGGGUGUCAAGCCCGAGCGCGUAAUGAAAGUGAACGGAGGUGGGAACCUUUCGGGGUGCACCAUCGACCGAUCCUGAUGUCUUCGGAUGGAUUUGAGUAAGAGCAUAGCUGUUGGGACCCGAAAGAUGGUGAACUAUGCUUGAAUAGGGUGAAGCCAGAGGAAACUCUGGUGGAGGCUCGCAGCGGUUCUGACGUGCAAAUCGAUCGUCAAAUUUGGGCAUAGGGGCGAAAGACUAAUCGAACUAUCUAGUAGCUGGUUCCUGCCGA